ACCUGAUCCCGUGCCCUUCUCCUCUUCCCUGUGUUUUCCCGAUCUCCUUCUUUCCCCGACUCUUCUCGCUGUUCUCUCUCGCGGACGAGCGACGUCAACGGGAGCGAGGCACUAGCUCUGGCGAUCUUUCUCCGCUGGCGUUGACAUCCAUUGAGCGUCGAUCCAACCGAAGCCCUUCUCUCUCGUGGAUGGUUCGACGACCCCUUGGUGGCUAGGGCACGGUGAGGAACAAGGUUCGCGUCAUCUCCCAACCUACCGACUCCCUCAUUCAUCUUUCUCGAGUUGCUCACGAAGCGAUCCGAGUCUUCUCUAGCCGGAUCGGACAGCAACACCAUCGGGAGGUGAUCCAGAGAGGUCACGGGUUGGGUGAAUUCUUUGGAGACAACCGAAUGAGGAGGAGAGGUUCUGUUCUUGCUGUGGUGUUCUACAAUCCAGCAACGUUUCCUUCCGGUAGCAACCAUCUACGAUUGAGGAUCAACAAAGAGUGAAUUGUUGAUCUCUUCUCUUGAUCCGAUCAGUGAGGACACUGAUUCGAGACAGGCGUCUCGACGUUGGAUUUGACGUGAUACUAUAUGCUAUUUGAGGCGGGUACCCUUUGACUUAUCUUUUUGAUAUUGUCUUAUGAUAUGUGUAGUUUAUAUAUAAUUACUAGUGGUAGUUGGUAGUUUAUCACUUCCCUGGUUAUAGUUUAUUCGAUACCUGUAGGCGGUUACUGGUGAUUGAUAGGUUAGCACAUUCCCUUGGUUUUAGUUUAGUUGAUACCUGAUACAUACUUCUACUGUUAUUUGCUAUACACUAGUCUGAUAUACUUUUAUGUCGUGCCAUGCGUAUCUGUGUUUAUUAAGUUAGAUGUAUUUAUAGUGCUUCACCAUACUGGAUUAGUUGCCAUAUAUGUUUGAUACGUGUCCUUGGAUUCAUGAUACUUAUAUCAUUGUUAUAUGUGGUGUUCUUGGAUUUAUGCUGCUUAUAUCAUGGUUAUAUAUAUAUAUAUAUAUAUGCGUUUACCUUUUUGGCACGCACAUAUAUGGA